rnacentral:tRNA from 1 species
CAAAAAGUAGCUUACAUUAAAGCAUUCGACCUACACUCGAACGACAUCACUAUCGAUCUUUUUGA